rnacentral:rRNA from 1 species
AACGCUGGCGGCAGGCUUAACACAUGCAAGUCGAGCGGAGUGAUGGUGCUUGCACUAUCACUUAGCGGCGGACGGGUGAGUAAUGCUUAGGAAUCUGCCUAUUAGUGGGGGACAACAUUUCGAAAGGAAUGCUAAUACCGCAUACGUCCUACGGGAGAAAGCAGGGGAUCUUCGGACCUUGCGCUAAUAGAUGAGCCUAAGUCGGAUUAGCUAGUUGGUGGGGUAAAGGCCUACCAAGGCGACGAUCUGUAGCGGGUCUGAGAGGAUGAUCCGCCACACUGGGAAUGAGACACGGCCCAGACUCCUACGGAGGCAGCAGUGGGGAAUAUUGGACAAUGGGCGCAAGCCUGAUCCAGCCAUGCCGCGUGUGUGAAGAAGGCCUUAUGGUUGUAAAGCACUUUAAGCGAGGAGGAGGCUACUUUAGUUAAUACCUAGAGAUAGUGGACGUUACUCGCAGAAUAAGCACCGGCUAACUCUGUGCCAGCAGCCGCGGUAAUACAGAGGGUGCAAGCGUUAAUCGGAUUUACUGGGCGUAAAGCGCGCGUAGGCGGCUAAUUAAGUCAAAUGUGAAAUCCCCGAGCUUAACUUGGGAAUUGCAUUCGAUACUGGUUAGCUAGAGUGUGGGAGAGGAUGGUAGAAUUCCAGGUGUAGCGGUGAAAUGCGUAGAGAUCUGGAGGAAUACCGAUGGCGAAGGCAGCCAUCUGGCCUAACACUGACGCUGAGGUGCGAAAGCAUGGGGAGCAAACAGGAUUAGAUACCCUGGUAGUCCAUGCCGUAAACGAUGUCUACUAGCCGUUGGGGCCUUUGAGGCUUUAGUGGCGCAGCUAACGCGAUAAGUAGACCGCCUGGGGAGUACGGUCGCAAGACUAAAACUCAAAUGAAUUGACGGGGGCCCGCACAAGCGGUGGAGCAUGUGGUUUAAUUCGAUGCAACGCGAAGAACCUUACCUGGCCUUGACAUAGUAAGAACUUUCCAGAGAUGGAUUGGUGCCUUCGGGAACUUACAUACAGGUGCUGCAUGGCUGUCGUCAGCUCGUGUCGUGAGAUGUUGGGUUAAGUCCCGCAACGAGCGCAACCCUUUUCCUUAUUUGCCAGCGAGUAAUGUCGGGAACUUUAAGGAUACUGCCAGUGACAAACUGGAGGAAGGCGGGGACGACGUCAAGUCAUCAUGGCCCUUACGGCCAGGGCUACACACGCGCUACAAUGGUCGGUACAAAGGGUUGCUACCUAGCGAUAGGAUGCUAAUCUCAAAAAGCCGAUCGUAGUCCGGAUUGGAGUCUGCAACUCGACUCCAUGAAGUCGGAAUCGCUAGUAAUCGCGGAUCAGAAUGCCGCGGUGAAUACGUUCCCGGGCCUUGUACACACCGCCCGUCACACCAUGGGAGUUUGUUGCACCAGAAGUAGGUAGUCUAACCGCAAGGAGGACGCUUACCACGGUGUGGCCGAUGACUGGGGUGAAGU